UACGUAGGGUGCGAGCGUUAAUCGGAAUUACUGGGCGUAAAGGGUGCGUAGGCGGUUUGAUAAGUCUGAUGUGAAAUCCCCGGGCUCAACCUGGGAACGGCAUUGGAGACUGUCAAGCUAGAGUGCGUCAGAGGGGGGUAGAAUUCCACGUGUAGCAGUGAAGUGCGUAGAUAUGCGGAGGAACACCGAUGGCGAAGGCAAUCCCCUGGACCUGUACUGACGCUCAUGCACGAAAGCGUGGGGAGCAAACAGG
rnacentral:rRNA from 1 species